GCAACAAAGAUGGAGGCAGCAAACAAAUUGUGAAGGGAAGAGGCAUUGAAGAAGGCUGAGGCAGUGAAGGGGACGAGGUCUUGUCCUAAGCCUCCUCUCCGAAGUCCUCUUGCUCUUUCGCAGUGACGUCCUGGCCUGCCUUUCUGUCAGACUGCAUACUUGACAGUGGCAUUCACCGUGUUUUUGACCACACCGCAUAAAAAGUCUCAUGAAAGUCAACUUGCAGAACUGCUUCAGAACACGGCAAGGAGUACAGGG
rnacentral:lncRNA from 1 species